CCUACGGGUGGCAGCAGUGGGGGAUAUUGCACAAUGGGGGGAACCCUGAUGCAGCGACGCCGCGUGGGUGAAGAAGUAUCUCGGUACGUAAAGCCCUGUCAGCAGGGAAGAAAAUGACGGUACCUGACGAAGAAGCCCCGGCUCACUACGUGCCAGCAGCCGCGGUAAUACGUAGGGGGCAAGCGUUAUCCGGAUUUACUGGGUGUAAAGGGGGCGUAGACGGCGGGUCAAGCCUGGAGUGAAAGCCCGGGGCUUAACCCCGGGACUGCUUUUGAAACUGUGCGGCUGGAGUGCAGGAGGGGUAGGCGGAAUUCCUGGUGUAGCGGUGAAAUGCGUAGAUAUCAGGAGGAACACCGGUGGCGAAGGCGGCUUACUGGACUGAAACUGACGUUGAGGCCCGAAAGCGUGGGGAGCAAACAGGAUUAGAUACCCGUGUAGUC
rnacentral:rRNA from 1 species